ACCAAGCACGGUUAGAAGCAAAUGUGAGGGUAACCGGAGAAACAAAUUUCAGGAAUAAAUGGCCAAGUCCCUUUGCGAUGGUUUCCGGCCUACUUCUCCUCCUCUCUUUCUUCAAAUACCUUUACUCUCCGUUCCGUUGGCUCGCUGUCGCAGCCGUCGUCGCCGGAAUUUAUCCAAUACUGGCCAAAGCUGUAGCAUCCCUUGCAAGGUUUAGAAUCGACAUCAACAUUCUUGUUAUUAUAACUGGUAAUGUUUCCGCUCUUUUUUCUUAUAAUUAAUAUAUAUUAUGAGGAGUGAAUCCCCAAUUUAUAUGAUAUGAAUCACAUUUCUCAUAAUAUUAAUUAAGGUGAAUUUUAAAAAAUACUAAUAGUUGUGAUAAAUAUAAGUAGUAUGUGUCUAUAUAAUAUUGUGAUUAGUUAGAAAUAUUAUGAUCAGCACAAAAGCAAUUGUUCUGUAGUUUGGUGUGUGUCUUUCCUCUGCAUUUGGCCUUUUUAUGCUACUUUGAGACCAAAAGAGAAAAGAAAAAAGAAAAUCUAUAAAAUAUCUGGUAACAUAUAGUAGUAUUUGUUAGAAAAUGUUUAUAACUUCUACUUACUAAUUCAACAAAAAAUGAAGGUUAUAGAGUCUACUUCAAAACUUAUAUUGAUCAUGUUGCAGUUAUAAUGUAGAAAAAAUAUGAAAUAAUUUGAACUCGGUCUUUGUGAACUCAAAUAUCUUAUAUAGUUAAAAUGCUCUUCCGUUGUUGUUUCAAUCAGUUGGAGCAACAAUUGGUAUGAGAGAUUACACAGAAGCUGGAGUAGUUGUCUUCUUAUUCACAAUCGCUGAAUGGCUCCAGUCAAGAGCUAGCUAUAAGGUUUUCCACCUCUUUCAUCUCUUUUGAUUCAUGUGUCAAUUUUUUUGUGAGUGCUCAAGUAGUUGUGUUUACACAUUGCAGGCAAGUGCAGUGAUGCAGUCUUUGAUGAGUUUAGCUCCACAAAAGGCAAUGAUUGCAGAAACUGGAGAAGAAGUUCAAGUGGAUGAGCUCAAGAUCAACACAGUUAUAGCUGUCAAAGCUGGUGAAACCAUACCAAUUGAUGGAGUUGUUGUGGAUGGAAACUGUGAAGUUGAUGAGAAAACCUUGACCGGCGAAGCAUUCCCCGUGCCUAAACUCAGAGAUUCGACGGUUUGGGCUGGAACCAUCAAUCUAAAUGGU
rnacentral:lncRNA from 1 species